GAUGAACGCUGGCGGCGUGCCUAAUACAUGCAAGUCGAGCGAACAGACGAGGAGCUUGCUCCUCUGACGUUAGCGGCGGACGGGUGAGUAACACGUGGAUAACCUACCUAUAAGACUGGGAUAACUUCGGGAAACCGGAGCUAAUACCGGAUAAUAUAUUGAACCGCAUGGUUCAAUAGUGAAAGACGGUUUUGCUGUCACUUAUAGAUGGAUCCGCGCCGCAUUAGCUAGUUGGUAAGGUAACGGCUUACCAAGGCAACGAUGCGUAGCCGACCUGAGAGGGUGAUCGGCCACACUGGAACUGAGACACGGUCCAGACUCCUACGGGAGGCAGCAGUAGGGAAUCUUCCGCAAUGGGCGAAAGCCUGACGGAGCAACGCCGCGUGAGUGAUGAAGGUCUGCGGAUCGUAAAACGCUGUUAUUAGGGAAGAACAAAUGUGUAAGUAACUAUGCACGUCUUGACGGUACCUAAUCAGAAAGCCACGGCUAACUACGG
rnacentral:rRNA from 1 species